rnacentral:rRNA from 1 species
GUGCCAGCCGCCGCGGUAAUACCGGCAGCUCAAGUGAUGUCCCAUAUUAUUGGGCCUAAAGCGUCCGUAGCUGGCUGCGCAAGUCCGUCGGGAAAUCCACUCGCCCAACGAGUGGGCGUCCGACGGAAACUGCACGGCUUGGGACCGGAAGGCUCGAGAGGUACGUCCGGGGUAGGAGUGAAAUCCCGUAAUCCCGAACGGACCACCGAUGGCGAAAGCAUCUCGAGAAAACGGAUCCGACAGUGAGGGACGAAAGCUAGGGUCUCGAACCGGAUUAGAAACCCCUGUAGUCC